rnacentral:rRNA from 1 species
CACGGUCCAGACUCCUACGGGAGGCAGCAGUGGGGAAUAUUGCACAAUGGGCGCAAGCCUGAUGCAGCGACGCCGCGUGGGGGAUGAAGGCCUUCGGGUUGUAAACCCCUUUCAGCAGGGAAGAAGCGAGAGUGACGGUACCUGCAGAAGAAGCGCCGGCUAACUACGUGCCAGCAGCCGCGGUAAUACGUAGGGCGCAAGCGUUGUCCGGAAUUAUUGGGCGUAAAGAGCUCGUAGGCGGUUUGUCGCGUCUGCUGUGAAAUCCCGAGGCUCAACCUCGGGCCUGCAGUGGGUACGGGCAGACUAGAGUGUGGUAGGGGAGACUGGAAUUCCUGGUGUAGCGGUGGAAUGCGCAGAUAUCAGGAGGAACACCGAUGGCGAAGGCAGGUCUCUGGGCCACAACUGACGCUGAGGAGCGAAAGCGUGGGGAGCGAACAGGAUUAGAUACCCUGGUAGUCCACGCCGUAAACGGUGGGCACUAGAUGUGGGGCUCUUUCCAUGAGUUCCGCGUCGCAGCUAACGCAUUAAGUGCCCCGCCUGGGGAGUACGGCCGCAAGGCUAAAACUCAAAGGAAUUGACGGGGGCCCGCACAAGCGGCGGAGCAUGCGGAUUAAUUCGAUGCAACGCGAAGAACCUUACCAAGGCUUGACAUAUACCCUCUACCCCCAGAGAUGGGGGGUGCUUCGGCGGGGUAUACAGGUGGUGCAUGGUUGUCGUCAGCUCGUGUCGUGAGAUGUUGGGUUAAGUCCCGCAACGAGCGCAACCCUCGUCCUAUGUUGCCAGCACGUAAUGGUGGGGACUCAUAGGAGACUGCCGGGGUCAACUCGGAGGAAGGUGGGGAUGACGUCAAAUCAUCAUGCCCCUUAUGUCUUGGGCUUCACGCAUGCUACAAUGGCCGGUACAAAGGGCUGCGAUACCGUAAGGUGGAGCGAAUCCCAAAAAGCCGGUCUCAGUUCGGAUUGAGGUCUGCAACUCGACCUCAUGAAGUCGGAGUCGCUAGUAAUCGCAGAUCAGCAACGCUGCGGUGAAUACGUUCCCGGGCCUUGUACACACCGCCCGUCAAGUCACGAAAGUCGGUAACACCCGAAGCCAGUGGCCCAACCCCUUGUGGGAGGGAGCUGUCUAAGGUGGGAUUGGCGAUUGGGACUAAGUCGUAACAAGGUAGCCGUACCGGAAGGUGCGGCUG